GACAGAGGUGCCAAGCGUUAGGCGGAAUUACUGGGCGUAAAGAGUGUGUAGGCGGUGCUCCCAGUCUGUUGUGAAAUCUCCCGGCUUAACUGGGAGGGUGCAGCGGAAACUAGAGUGCUAGAGGGUGGGAGAGGUAAGCGGAAUUCCUGGUGUAGCGGUGAAAUGCGUAGAUAUCAGGAGGAACACCUGUGGUGUAGACAGCUUACUGGACCACUUCUGACGCUGAGACACGAAAGCGUGGGUAGCAAACAGG
rnacentral:rRNA from 1 species